UCCCAGUCAAAUCAUUUGAGUUUUAAUCUUGCGACCGUACUCCCCAGGCGGUCUACUUCACGCGUUAGCUGCGUUACCAAGUCAAAUGAAAGACCCGACAACUAGUAGACAUCGUUUAGGGCGUGGACUACCCAGGGUAUCUAAUCCCUGUUUGCUCCCCACGCUUUCGUGCAUGAGCGUCAGUGUUAUCCCAGGGGGCUGCCUUCGCCAUCGGUAUUCCUCCACAUCUCUACGCAUUUCACUGCUACACGUGGAAUUCUACCCCCCUCUGACACACUCUAGCCUUCCAGUCACAAAUGCCAUUCCCAGGUUGAGCCCGAGGAUUUCACAUCUGUCUUGGAAAACCGCCUGCGCACGCUUUACGCCCAGUAAUUCCGAUUAACGCUUGCACCCUACGUAUUACCGCGGCUGCUGGCACGUAGUUAGCCGGUGCUUAUUCUUCCAGUACCAUCAUCCCCCCGAGGUGUUAUCCCAGGGGAUUUCUUCCCGGACAAAAGAGCUUUACAACCCGAAGGCCUUCUUCACUCACGCGGCAUUGCUGGAUCAGGGUCGCCCCCAUUGUCCAAAAUUCCCCACUGCUGCCUCCCGUAGGAGUCUGGGCCGUGUCUCAGUCCCAGUGUGGCUGGUCGUCCUCUCAGACCAGCUACUGAUCGUCGCCUUGGUAGGCCUUUACCCCACCAACUAGCUAAUCAGUUAUCGGCCGCUCCAUGAGCGUGAGGCCUUGCGGUCCCCCACUUUCAUCCAUGGAUCGUAUGCGGUAUUAAUCCGGCUUUCGCCGGGCUAUCCCCCACUCCUGGGCACGUUCCGAUAUGUUACUCACCCGUUCGCCACUCGCCGCCAGACCGAAGUCCGCGCUGCCGUUCGACUUGCAUGUGUAAGGCAUGCCGCCAGCGUUCAAUCUGAGCCAGGAUCAAACUCU
rnacentral:rRNA from 1 species